NCAGGUCAUGUCCUCAAAACAUUGACACGUCUACAUUCGCAUCGCUCGCUUUAGUCUGUGGAGGUGCUUGUGUGGUGUGGACAUGUCACCGAACGUCCAUUGUCGUGCUCCAUUUGAGCACGAAAGCUUUGUUNUGCGCCUCCGUCAAACCUAUAGUUCUGCAUCGUUCCACACGUGCGAAAGUUAACAUACGGGAAGCAGAGCGCCACAGAGCAUGGUUUUUAAGAACAUCUCGCUUGCACGCCACGGGCCGCCUACGAAUAUACAAUCCUAACGCAUACACAUGCGCACCCGCGGUCGUUGCGUGCGCACAAGAACAUCUCGCUUGCACGCCACGAGCCGCCAACGAAUAUACAAUCCUAACGCAUACACAUGCGCACCCGCGGUCGCUGCGUGCGCACAAGAACAUCUCGCUUGCACGCCACGGGCCGCCAACGAAUAUACAAUCCUAACGCAUACACAUGCGCACCCGCGGUCGCUGCGUGCGCACAAGAACAUCUCGCUUGCACGCCACGGGCCGCCAACGAAUAUACAAUCCUAACGCACACACAUGCGCACCCGCGGUCGCUGCGUGCGCACAAGAACAUCUCGCUUGCACGCCACGGGCCGCCAACGAAUAUACAAUUCUUAACACAUGGAGAAGGCUCUGGUGUGACGUUUACAAGCUUGAUGGCUGUUUUAGCAUGCCGCGCGUUUGUGUGCCUCUGCACGUUGUGUUUGUGGAUUUCCU
rnacentral:lncRNA from 1 species